UAGCUCAGCGGUAGAGCACUUGCCUAGCAAGCUCAAGGCCCUGGGUUCGAUCCCCAG
rnacentral:tRNA from 1 species